rnacentral:rRNA from 1 species
UACGUAGGGGGCAAGCGUUGUCCGGAAUUAUUGGGCGUAAAGAGCGUGUAGGCGGUCCGGUAAGUCGGCUGUGAAAGUCCAGGGCUCAACCCUGGGAUGCCGGUCGAUACUGCCGGACUAGAGUUCGGAAGAGGCGAGUGGAAUUCCCGGUGUAGCGGCGAAAUGCGCAGAUAUCGGGAGGAACACCUAUGGCGAAGGCAGCUCGCUGGGACGUUACUGACGCUGAGACGCGAAAGCGUGGGGAGCAAACAGG